GUAUUUUUGUAGCAAUAUGAGGAUACGGGAGUGGCGAAAGGGUGCGUAACACGUGGGUAAUUUGUCUGAGAGUUCAGGAUAAUUCGCUGAAAGGCGGAGUAAUACUGGAUGUGGAUAUUGGUUGGGAACAGCUGAUAUCUAAAGCCGGGGACCGCAAGGCCUGGUGCUCUUAGGUAAGCCCGCGACCUAUCAGCUAGUUGGUGAGGUAAGAGCCCACCAAGGCGGAGACGGGUAGCUGGUCUGAGAGGACGACCAGCCACACUGGAACUGAGACACGGUCCAGACACCUACGGGUGGCAGCAGUCGAGAAUUUUUCUCAAUGGGGGAAACCCUGAAGGAGCGACGCCGCGUGGGGGAUGAAGGGCUUCGGCUCGUAAACCCCUGUCAUUUGUGAGCAAGUGUUAUUGUUUAAGAGAUGAUGACAUUGAUAGUAGCAAAAGAGGAAGGGACGGCUAACUCUGUGCCAGCAGCCGCGGUAAUACAGAGGUCCCAAGCGUUGUUCGGAAUCACUGGGCGUAAAGGGUGCGUAGGCGGUAUGGUAAGACUUGGG
rnacentral:rRNA from 1 species